GAGCCUUAACCAAAGAAGCAGCCAGCUUGCUGGAAGCGGAAACCGUGUUAGGCUUAGUGGCGGACGGGUGAGUAACGCGUGGGUAACCUGGCCCAUACAGGGGGAUAACACUUAGAAAUAGGUGCUAAUACCGCAUAACAACAGAAAGCGCAUGCUUUUUGUUUGAAAACCAAGGUGGUAUGGGAUGGACCCGCGUCUGAUUAGCUGGUUGGCGGGGUAAAGGCCCACCAAGGCGACGAUCAGUAGCCGGCCUGAGAGGGUGGACGGCCACAUUGGGACUGAGACACGGCCCAAACUCCUACGGGGGGCAGCAGUGGGGAAUAUUGCACAAUGGGGGAAACCCUGAUGCAGCGACGCCGCGUGAGUGAAGAAGUAAUUCGUUAUGUAAAGCUCUAUCAGCAGGGAAGAAAAUGACGGUACCUGAGUAAGAAGCCCCGGCUAACUACGUGCCAGCAGCCGCGGUAAUACGUAGGGGCAAGCGUUAUCCGGAUUUACUGGGUGUAAAGGGAGCGUAGACGGCAGUGCAAGUCUGGAGUGAAAGGCGGGGGCUCAACCCCCGGACUGCUCUGGAAACUGUACGGCUGGAGUGCAGGAGAGGUAAGUGGAAUUCCUAGUGUAGCGGUGAAAUGCGUAGAUAUUAGGAGGAACA
rnacentral:rRNA from 1 species